AAAAAGUUUUAUUUAAGCUUGAAUAAUAGGUUUAUAAUUUAUUUACAUGUAAAUUUUAGUAAUUUAAAAUAUAAUUUUAAACAGGUUAUAUAAAAAAUAUUAUUCGCAGUAUUUAGUUUUAAUUAUUAAGGAAACUUAGAAUUAGAAAUUUAUAAUAAUAUUAACAUAAUUUGUGCCAGCAGUUGCGGUUAUACAAAUAAUAUAAUUUAUUAUUAUUAAUUUAUAAUUAAUUGUUUAGUUUUUAAAUAUAAAUUAUAAUUUAUUAAGUGAAAUUUUAAAUUAUAAUAAAUUUUAAUAAUAGAUUUUGAAGUUAUUAAAUUUUAAAUAAAACUAGGAUUAGAUACCCUAUUAUAAAAAUGUAAAUUUAUAAAAAUUUAAUUAUUAAUAGUUAUAGUCUUAAAAGUUAAAAAAUUUGGCGGUAUUUUAAUCUAUUCAGAGGAACCUGUCCUAUAAUUGAUAUUCCACGAUUAAAAUUACUUAUUUUAAUAAUUUGUAUAUCGUCGUAGUUGAAUAUUUUAAUAGAAAUUAAAUAUUCUAAAUUUUUUUAUAAAAAUAAAUCAGAUCAAGGUGCAGUUUAUAAAUAAGAAGAGAUGGGUUACAAUAAUGGGUAUUUUGGAUAUUAUUUUUUAAAAAUAUAUUGAAAAUGGAUUUGACAGUAAUUUAGUUAAUUUUAAUUAAAUGAUUCUUAGCUCUAAAAUAUGUACAUAUCGCCCGUCGCUCUCAUUUAAGUUGAGAUAAGUCGUAACAUAGUAAAUGUACUGGAAAGUGUAUUUAGGUUAAC
rnacentral:ncRNA from 1 species